UAGCAUUUCAAUAAGCGGGAGGAAAAGAAACUAACAAGGAUUCCCCUAGUAACGGCGAGUGAAGCGGGAAGAGCACAAAUUUAAAAUCUACCUGGUUUCCAGGUCGAGUUGUAAUUUGAAGAUACGUUUUUGAUGUUCCUGGUUGGACUAAAUCCUUUGGGAUAAGGUAUCAUGGAGGGUGAGAAUCCCGUAUAUACCAACCAUUGGGAUGUUAUUUAAUACGUUUCUAAGAGUCGAGUUGUUUGGGAAUGCAGCUCUAAAUGGGUGGUAAAUUUCACCUAACGCUAAAUAUAAGCGAGAGACCGAUAGCGAACAAGUACAGUGAUGGAAAGAUGAAAAGAACUUUGAAAAGAGAGUUAAAUAGUACGUGAAAUUGUUGAAAGGGAAACGAUUGAAGUCAGUCAUGCCAGUGGGAAUCAACUUAGAGGAAACUCUGAGUGCACUUCUUCGCUUGGCAGGUCAACGUCGAUUUUGGAUGUCAUAAAAUGAUUGGGGGAAGGUAGCUCCUUCGGGAGUGUUAUAGCCCUUGGUAGAUGUGAUGUCUGGGAUCGAGGAUUGCAAUGGAUACCCUUUGGGGCUAGCCGCCUGAUCUCUAAUCGGUAUUGGGUUACGGAUAGCAUGCUGACCGUGAUCUAAUUAUUGGUUAAAAGGUUAGAGCGUGCAUAAAUUCAUUAAGGACGUUGACGUAAUGGCUUUUAAACGACCCGUCUUGAAACACGGACCAAAUCACGAAUUCUGGAUC
rnacentral:rRNA from 1 species